CUUCAGCGACCCCAGCCGGACCGGCUCGGCCCGGUCCUGGCCGUAGGUGGCCAGCAGCGCUUGGGCCUC
rnacentral:antisense_RNA from 1 species